UACGUAGGGGGCAAGCGUUGUCCGGAUUUAUUGGGCGUAAAGAGCGUGUAGGCGGCCAGACAGGUCAGCUGUGAAAACUCGAGGCUCAACCUCGAGACGUCGGUUGAAACCGUCUGGCUAGAGUCCGGAAGAGGAGAGUGGAAUUCCCGGUGUAGCGGUGAAAUGCGCAGAUAUCGGGAAGAACACCCGUGGCGAAGGCGGCUCUCUGGGACGGUACUGACGCUGAGACGGCGAAAGCGUGGGGAGCGAACAGG
rnacentral:rRNA from 1 species